ensembl:misc_RNA Metazoa_SRP Metazoan signal recognition particle RNA
GCCGGGUGUGGUGGUGCAUGCCUGUAAUCCCAGCGACUUGGGAGGCUGAGGCACAUGAAUAGCUUGAACCCAGGAGGCAGAGGCUGCAGUGAGCCGAGAUCAUGUCACUGCAGUCCAGCCUGGGAAACAGAGCAAGACUGUGUCUCUA